CCUACGGGAGGCAGCAGUGAGGAAUAUUGGUCAAUGGGCUUACGCCUGAACCAGCCAAGUCGCGUGAGGGAAGACUGCCCUAUGGGUUGUAAACCUCUUUUGUCAGGGAGCAACGCCUGCUACGUGUAGCCUGCCUGAGAGUCCCUGCAGACAAAGCAUCGGCUGACUCCGUGACAGCAGCCGCGGUAACACGGAGGAUGCGAGCGUUAUCCGGUUUUAUGGGGGUUAAAGGGUGCGUAGGCGGAAUGCCAAGUCAGCGGUAAAAUCGCGGGGCUCAACCUCGCUCCGCCGUUGAAACUGGCGUUCUUGAGUGGGCGAGAAGUAGGCGGAAUGCGUGGUGUAGCGGUGAAAUGCAUAGAGAUCACGCAGAACUCCGAUUGCGAAGGCAGCAUACCGGCGCCCAACUGACGCUGACGCACGAAAGCGUGGGUAUCGAACAGGAUUAGAUACCCUUGUAGUC
rnacentral:rRNA from 1 species